CUCCACAAUCUAUUAAAUGACAGUACCAUUCAAAGACGCUGUCUUGUGAUGAUACCCUCUGGUGAAUAAGAUGUGACUGGCAAUCAUGUCAUAUCACACCACACAUCAUAUCUAUUAUGAAGACUGGAUGUUCCAUGCUCCAAAUCUACUGCUUCUUGCCUUAGUGCACAGCGCCAUGAAGAAGUAGCAGAUCUGAGUACUUUCCUCCAAAGCCCUGUUGUCAUUUUCUCUUCAGCACUUCAGGAUUCAGUGUGGUGGCUAUCAGGUGCUUGCCCCUGUGUGCUGAGACUGCUGCUGCUGCUGCAGUCACCUCCUGGUUCUCCAUGUCCGCGAUCUCAUUCUCUUAGCCUGCCUUUCUUAUUAUUCUGAAGCUCAAAAUUGCUCUGGCUGUCCUGGCAGAGAGUCUUGCACAGGUUCCCCCAGUUUCUAGGGUGAAUAUUACUAACCUAGAGUGACCCUUCUGGCAUUCAUGAUUGCCUCAUGACGACUGACUGACACAUCAUCUUCUCUUUCCGGCCUCCUCUAUGAUUCCUCAGCUCAAUCCAAAUGCGGUGGCCGAGCUGUGUCGCUCAGUUCUCUGAAUCCAUUUCCUUCUGAAGCCUCCUUGUCUUUGCGGCUGCUGACCAUGCACGCAGUGGUCCUGUGGUUGUUAUUAUAGACGUCCUUAUAACUUCAGCUUGAGUACUUCUGAGAGACUUCUGAGAGAGACGCUGUCUCUGAUUUAACUCUUCUGUCACCUGUUUAACUGUUCAGGGGCCAUGCGUGUACACAUCUGCGCACUCACCUCAUGCUCAGACAUACCGUAUUCUCUGUAAUUACUCCCACAGCAAUUCAGGAAUCCUUCACUAGAACUAGCCUUUCCUUUGUACGUGUCCACUGCUUCGUAUAUGUGAAUAUGUAUUCAUUAUAUAAGUAUUCAUAUUCAAAAUUCGUGAAUAGGUAUUCACGACUGAGUGCCUUCUGCUCACACUUCCCUCUAUUCACUCUUCAGAUCACUUCAUUCAUUUUGGUUUCCCUCUGUUUACUUCAUCAAAACAAUGCUUUAAAGGGUUACCAAUAAUCUCUGCUGCAUUUGUGGGCGACUUCUUCCCUGGGUUUUCAGAUGCGCUGACAUCAUCCUUACCCACCAGGCUGUCCCGACACCAUUCGCUGUUUUCUAGGCUUCCUUCUAGGCUUUUGUUAUUUCAUUAAAUGUCUCAAGCCCCCCCCCCCCUCUAAAUUUAAAGUUUUAAUGGACUGUAUAUAUUUGAGUUAACACAGUACUUGCACACGUUUUAUGGGCAUGGUGUGACAUUGCCACACUUGUAUACAAUGUAUCAGAUCAGGGUAGCUGUAUCAUUUGUGUUACUAAACUUCCUUCUUCCCUGUGUUCUGUAGAAAUCUUCUCUAAGCCUGCUUGCUGCUCCAUUACUACGCACAUGGAGAAUAUUUGUUCAAAUCUCACUUCUACAUUGCCCUUUCCUUUAAGUGCACGUAUGUGUGAUCUUGUACGCCUACCUAUUAACAUUAUCGAAUGAUUCAGACACAUCACACUUAAGGUGUCCAUAUUAAAACUUGCAAGGCCCCUUGCCUCCAUGAGUCAUUUUAUCACUUUACAGUCUAGAAAUCUGGAAAUGAUACCUGACGAUUGGAUCUUCCAACCAUCCCAAACUUUAUCAAUUGUAUCACAAAGCUCUCAAAUGAAUUCCAUUCUCCUGACCCCCAAUAGUAUGGGUUAUUCCAGUUAAGAGUCUAUUUUUGUCUGGAUUACUGACUUAUGAUCUUAACUGGGUUUAAUGUCUCUGUUUAGUCACUAGGACGAUUAUUUUCUAGUUGCAAAGGACAAAAUGCAUGGUCCCUAGGAUCUUCUCUACACUGGGUUUAUAAUGACAUCUUAAGCUUCACAAUCCCUAGGCUCCAGUCUUUUUUCCCCCUUUGUUCCCUCCUGCCCCCCUCAGGCAGUCUUUGCAUUAGCUUCUGUAUCCCACUUCCCACACCAUCUCCCACUGAAGCUUCGACAAGCAGUUCUCAAACUCAAAACCUGAGGUGAGACCAGAGACUGCCUCUUCACUGAGGUCCUACAAGAAGCCCAGACUGGCUGGCAUUAGCAAAGUCUACCGCUACUAAAGAUUCUCCUGUGCAUAGGAGAAGCAGAAAAGCAAGCAAACAAAAACCCAAGACAAACAAACUAACAUACCCAAGCAAAGGGCAGUCUCUACUGUCAAAUCCAAAUCACCGCCUUAGCGGGAAGAAAGGCCCAGAGGAGGGCAGAGGCAGGAGAAAGAGAUGGGCACGUUAGUAGAACCUUACUUUUUGUCAUUAAAAGCCGAUUGCCUGAGCCAGGUGUGGUGGUGCACGCCUUUGAUCCAGAAGCAGGUGGAUCUCUCUGACUUCCCGCGCACCUUGCUUUACCACAGUGAGCUCCAGGCAGGCAGGUCUACACACUGAGACUGCUUCUACUGACAACAACAAACAU
rnacentral:lncRNA from 1 species